UGUACUCGAACGUCGCGUUUAGGCGGUC
rnacentral:piRNA from 1 species